UCAAGACCGAAACACAUCGAAUGAUUUGGAGAACUUGUGAAGAGAGUGAUGAUGACUGCCACCGUUGGAAGACCAAUCUGGUCGUCGCCUCGUCCCCUCCUGGGAGGGGCGUGGGGGGCACGGCUUGGGACGGAUGAAACACAAACUGGCGUAGCUCCGUGCCAAGGGAAAAUUGAAAGGCACUAGCCCCACAUCAGGCUCGAUAGCAUGGAGUGCUGUCGCGCUCCAUGCGGAUGGACAUGACUCUCGAUAAUGGAUAUCUCGGCUCUCGCAUUGAUGAAGAGUGCAGCAAAUGUGAUAUGUUGUGCGAAUUACAGAGUCCCAUGAACCAUCAAGUCUUUGAAUGCAUAUUGUGCCUGAGGCCAGCCAGCCGAGGGCACGUCCGCCUGGGUGUCAAGCAUCACGUCACUCUGUGCCAACUUUGUCCCCCUGAUGGGUGUGUGUCGAUCAAGGUACAGAAUGCAGGGUGGCCGGUCGUGCCCUUUGGCAUGGCGGGCUGAAGAGUCGGUCAUCAUCUCACUGGCUUCUGGCAAGGAGGGGUGGGUGAAAGCUGUGAGCACAACCCACGUUGUCUCAUACGGAGCCUGAGAGAAUGACGGUGCCCCCGAGGAGAUCCUGACCCACGCGCCGAUCUGCAUGGGGUAGCUUGGAAU
rnacentral:rRNA from 1 species